CACUGCAUGGUGGAACCCACUGAGCCGUACUGAAAUCUGUUCUGCAGAAUCUGGAGAAUGGUUCUUUGGAGGAUCAAUGCUUCAUUGGGCCCUAUAGGCAUAAUGUUAAGGGUGGAGUCUUAUUUUCAAGUUACUUACUUUGGGAACACCAUCUGUACCAACAGAAAUAAUUAAGGCUUUUGAGAACUCUAACAGAACAGCACAG